rnacentral:tRNA from 1 species
GGGGUUGUAGCUUAGUGGUAGAAUGAAUGCUUGCCUCACCAGCAUGAGGCCCUGGGUGCGAGCCUCAGCACCCCA